GUGCUCGCUUCAGCAGCACAUAUACUAAAAUUGGAAUGAUACAGAGAUUAGCAUGGCCCCUGCACGAGGAUGACACACAAAUUCAUGAACCGUUCCAUAUUUUU
rnacentral:snRNA from 1 species